rnacentral:ncRNA from 1 species
UACCUGGUUGAUCCUGCCAGUAGUCAUAUGCUUGUCUCAAAGAUUAAGCCAUGCAAGUCUAAGUACGAGAUCUCGUACAGUGAAACU